GCGCCUUUAGCUCAGUUUGGUAGAGCAGCAGACUUUUAAUCUGUUGGUCGUGGGUUCAAUUCCCUCAAGGCGUA
rnacentral:tRNA from 5 species